rnacentral:rRNA from 1 species
GAUGAACGCUGGCGGCGUGCUUAACACAUGCAAGUCGAACGGAAAGGCCCAAGCUUGCUUGGGUACUCGAGUGGCGAACGGGUGAGUAACACGUGGGUGAUCUGCCCUGCACUUCGGGAUAAGCCUGGGAAACUGGGUCUAAUACCGGAUAGGACCACUUCUUGGAUGUUGUGGUGGAAAGUUUUUUCGGUGUGGGAUGAGCUCGCGGCCUAUCAGCUUGUUGGUGGGGUAAUGGCCUACCAAGGCGUCGACGGGUAGCCGGCCUGAGAGGGUGUACGGCCACAUUGGGACUGAGAUACGGCCCAGACGCCUACGGGAGGCAGCAGUGGGGAAUAUUGCACAAGGGGCGCAAGCCUGAUGCAGCGACGCCGCGGGGGGGAUGACGGCCUUCGGGUUGUAAACUCCUUUCGCUAGGGACGAAGCGUUUUGUGACGGUACCUGGAGAAGAAGCACCGGCUAACUACGUG